GAUGAAUAACGUAGCGAAAUGCGAUAAGUAAUGUGAAUUGCAGAAUUCAGUGAAUCAUCGAAUCUUUGAACGCACAUUGCGCCCCUCGGCACUCCGGGGGGCAUGCCUGUCCGAGCGUCAUUGCACCCCUCGAGCCCCCCGUGGCUUGGUCGUGAGCCGCGCCCGCGCCAGCCCCGUCCCCCCCCGUGCAGCGGGGGGCAGGGGCGCCGGGCGGGCUCGAAACGCAGUGGCGGCCCCCGGGCGACUUCCAGCGCGAUGACAUGUUUCGCUGCCGAAGCCUUCGCCCCGGGCGCCCGCCAGGCAACCCCCGUGCUUCUUACGCGGUUGACCUCGGAUCAGGCAGGGAUACCCGCUGAACUUAAGCAUAUCAAUAAGCGGAGGA
rnacentral:misc_RNA from 1 species